rnacentral:misc_RNA from 1 species
UUUCCGUAGGUGAACCUGCGGAAGGAUCAUUAUCGAAUUUCGAGGGGAAGGAAGAUGAGGAGUGGGGACUGCCGCUGGCUUUCCCGCCUGGGAAGCAUGUGCACGCCUUGCUUUUCGUUGACCUUUCUCUUACUCUCACACCUGUGCACCCAUUGUAGGUCCUCGAAAGAGGAUCUAUGUUUUUAUCAUCACACGCAUCGUAUGUCCAUAGAAUGUAACAUGAUCGUCGAUCGACCUCGCGGUCGGGUGGCGGUCUAAAUAAAUAAAUGCAACUUUCAGCAACGGAUCUCUUGGCUCUC